rnacentral:rRNA from 1 species
AACAAACGAUCUUCCGUUAAUUGAUUAUGACGUACUUGCACUGAUUGAGAUUUUAACACGAUUGUGAGUGGCGAACGGAGUGAGUCACACGAUGGGGUAACCUGCCCCAGAAGUAGAGGAGAUAACACCUGACAAACAGAUGCUAAUACCGUAUAACAGAGAAAACCGCAUGGUUUUCUUUUAAAAGAUGGCUCUGCUAUCACUUCUGGAUGGACCCGCGGCGUAUUAUCUAGUUGGUGAGGUAAAGGCUCACCAAGGUAGUGAUACGUAGCCCGACCUGAGAGGGUAAUCGGCCACAUUGGGGACUGAGACACGGCCCUCACUCCUACGGGAGGCAGCAGUAGGGAACCUUCCACAAUGGACGCAAGUCUGAUGGAGCAACGCCGCGUGAGUGAAGAAGGGUUUCGGCUCGUAAAGCUCUGUUGUUAAAGAAGAACGUGGGUAAGAGUAACUGUUUACCCAGUGACGGUAUUUAACCAGAAAGCCACGGCUAACUACGUGCCAGCAGCCGCGGUAAUACGUAGGUGGCAAGCGUUAUCCGGAUUUAUUGGGCGUAAAGCGAGCGCAGGCGGUCUUUUAAGUCUAAUGUGAAAGCCUUCGGCUCAACCGAAUAAGUGCAUUGGAAACUGGGAGACUUGAGUGCAAAAAGAGGACAGUGGAACUCCAUGU